rnacentral:tRNA from 1 species
GCCUUGGUGGCUCCGAGGCGAGAGCGCCGGCCUACGGAUCCCCCGGUGGCGGGUUCAAAUCCCGACCGAGGUG